CUGGUACUAUAGUGGGUAGUAUCCCCGCCUGUCACGCGGGAGACCGGGGUUCGAUUCCCCGUCGG
rnacentral:tRNA from 1 species